GUCUUCAGGGAUGAGGACAGGGAAAACAGCAAGCGGUUCUGUCUCUUUCCUCCUGCUCCAGCUCUGCCUUGGCUGCUGUAGACCUUGGACUACUUUGCACAGUCCUGACAAGGUUCAUUCGACAAUGUUUGCUUAGGCUUUUUGGAUACUUCUGUGGAAGGACAUACUGCUGGAACUACCUGCUCUGUUAUUUUUGCUAGUACAAUUGAGAACUACGGUUAGGAUUAAAGGUGUAUUAACUCAGUCAGUCCUGGUAGCCUAGACAGAGUAUAAAAGGAGCAGAGAGACACUGUUAAGGGCCUCACUGCUUCUGCUGUCUUCUGCCUACCAGGAACUGUUCUCCUCUGCAAUGCCAGCCUGCCUUGGAGCCACCUGAUUAUGGACUGAAACCUCCACAAAAUACAUUUCAACAUGUAUUUGUUGACUGGCAGACUCAACAGGACAUACGGUGAAGCAUGAAAGUUCAGGGAGGAAGCCGGGGAUUCAGCUCAGCGGCAUAAGCGCCUGCCUUGCAAGUGCACAGUGUCUGCUAUAGGGGUGCCAAUCCUGCCAACACCUGCACCUGUCCAAUUUCAAGUCACAAUGCUUCAACUGCUGCGAUUACAAAAACAGAAAGAGGGAGACGUUGGAGAUCAGCUUUUGCUGUAACUCACUUUAGGAGAUUGGAGGCCAGGCCAAAUCCCCAAUAAAGCAGUGACUUUCAUCCUUCAGAAGGGAUAAUGCUGUCAGUUUGUUCCUCUAAAGAGAUCUGUUUGCUUCUGAGAGGAGCCAGGAGACCCGACUAACCUCUGGCUAUUUGGGAGAAUGAGAUUUUGACAUUUUCCAGAUACAGCAGACUUCAGAGAAAGAAAAGCUCUCAGCAAUAGUGACAUCUCAAAAUGACAACAGAGCCAGUUCUCCAAGAAUAUGUGCCAGCUUUUAAUGUGCUUGUCUUGACUGAAUGGAUGUCAAAAUGCAUCAGGCAAGAACUAACAGUCCUUUUACACUUAUAUUAGAGAGAAAUAAAAAAUUCGCUCCAACAGAGUAAACUUUUAUUUUCUUAUGUUUUCCCAUAAGUCUUACAAA